rnacentral:rRNA from 1 species
UACAGGGGGUGCAAACGUUGCUCGGAAUCAUUUGGGCGUAAAGCGCACGUAGGCGGUUUGUUAUGUCGGAUGUGAAAGCCCUUGGCCUCAACUGAGGAAGUGCAUCCGAAACUGGCAGCUAGAGUACUAAAGAGGUCGCGGAACUCCCGGUGUAGAGGUGAAAUUCGUAGAUAUCGGGAGGAACACCGGUGGCGAAGGCGGCGACCUGGGUGAGAUACUGACGCUGAGGUGGCGAAAGCGUGGGGAGCGAACAGG